rnacentral:ncRNA from 2 species
AAAAAGUUUUAUUUUGGUUUAAAAAUUUGUUAUUAAUUUAUUUUAUAUGUAAAUUUUUGUGUAUUUAAUUAUUAUUUUAAAAAUAAUAAAUAAUAAUUUAAUUGCAGUAAAUAAAUUUAUUUUUUAAAGAAAUUUAGAAAUAGUAAUAUUAUUAAAUAUUGACAAAAUUUGUGCCAGCAGUCGCGGUUAUACAAAUAAUAUAAAUAAAUUUUAUUAGUUUUAGUUAAAUUUUAAAUUAAAAUAACUAAUAAAAUUUAUUAGGUGAAAUUUAUAAAUUUUUAAAUUUAUUUUUUGGGAAUAAUUUAAUCUAAUAAAUUUUUAAGAUAAACUAGGAUUAGAUACCCUAUUAUUUAAAAUGUAAAUAAAAAAACUAAAGUAGUAUUAGUUAUGUUCUUGAAAUUUAAAAAAUUUGGCGGUAUUUUAGUCUUUUCAGAGGAAUUUGUUUUAUAAUCGAUAAUCCGCGAUGGACCUUACUUAAAUUUGUUAAUCAGUUUAUAUACCGUCGUUAUUAGAAUAUUUUAUAAGAAAAAUAAUAUUCAAUUAAUUUAAUAAAAUUUUAUAUCAGAUCAAGGUGUAGCUUAUAUUUAAGAAAAAAUGAAUUACAAUAAAAUUAUUUAAAUGAAUAUAAAUAUGAAAAAUUUAUUGAAAGUGGAUUUGAUAGUAAAUUUAUAAAGAUUAAUAAAUUGAUUUUAGCUCUAAAAUAUGUACACAUCGCCCGUCGCUCUUGUUAUUAAAAUAAGAUAAGUCGUAACAUAGUAGAUGUACUGGAAAGUGUAUCUAGAAUGAC